GGCUCUGUAGCCAAGCGGUAAGGCGUGGGUCUGCAACACCCUGAUCACCGGUUCAAAUCCGGUCGGAGCCUCCA
rnacentral:tRNA from 4 species